AGACAUGUUGCGGAAGUUUUCGGAUGGAAGCGAUAUGUUUUAGCGGCGGACGGGUGAGUAACGCGUGAGCAACCUUUCCUUCACAGGGGGAUAACGUACCGAAAGGUACACUAAUACCGCAUAAGGCCACAGUACCGCAUGGUACAGGGGUUAAAGGAGAAAUCUGGUGAAGGGUGGGCUCGCGUCCGAUUAGCUAGUUGGUGAGGUGACGGCCCACCAAGGCGACGAUCGGUAGCCGACCUGAGAGGGUGAUCGGCCACAUUGGAACUGAGAUACGGUCCAAACUCC
rnacentral:rRNA from 1 species